rnacentral:rRNA from 1 species
AUUGAACGCUGGCGGCAGGCCUAACACAUGCAAGUCGAGCGGAGCGGCGGACGGGUGAGUAAUGCCUAGGAAUCUGCCUGGUAGUGGGGGAUAACGUCCGGAAACGGGCGCUAAUACCGCAUACCAUCAGAUGUGGCUAGCUGGGUUUAGCUAGUAGGUGGGGUAACGGCUCACCUAGGCGACGAUCCCUAACGGGUCUGAGAGGAUGACCAGCCACACGGGAACUUAGACACGGUCCAGACUCCUACGGGAGGCAGCAGGGGGGAAUAUUGCACAAUGGGCGCAAGCCUGAUGCAGCCAUGCCGCGUGUGGGAAGAAGGCCUUCGGGUUGUAAAGCACUUUCAGCGGGGAGGCGUUACCCGCAGAAGAAGCACCGGCUAACUCCGUGCCAGCCGCCGCGGUAAUUC